UGGGAAGAAACCAACAGGGAUUGCCUUAGUAACGGCGAGUGAAGCGGCAACAGCUCAAAUUUGAAAGCUGGCUCCUUCGGAGUCCGCGUUGUAAUUUGUAGAGGAUGAUUCGGCGAGGGCUCCCGCCUAAGUCCCCUGGAACGGGGCGUCAUAGAGGGUGAGAAUCCCGUAUGCGGUGGGUUGCCUUAGCCAUGUGAAUCUCCUUCGACGAGUCGAGUUGUUUGGGAAUGCAGCUCUAAAUGGGAGGUAAAUUUCUUCUAAAGCUAAAUACCGGCCAGAGACCGAUAGCGCACAAGUAGAGUGAUCGAAAGAUGAAAAGCACUUUGGAAAGAGAGUUAAAAAGUACGUGAAAUUGUUGAAAGGGAAGCGCUUGCAGCCAGACUUGUCCGCAGUUGCUCAACCGGUCUCCUGACCGGUGUACUCUUCUGCGGCCAGGCCAGCAUCAGUUCGGGCGGUCGGAUAAAGGCCCUGGGAAUGUAGCUCCUCUCGGGGAGUGUUAUAGCCCAGGGUGGAAUGCGGCCAGCCUGGACUGAGGAUCUCGCUUCGGCUAGGAUGCUGGCGUAAUGGCUGUAAGCGGCCCGUCUUGAAACACGGACCAAGGAGUCUAACAUCUAUGCGAGUGUUUGGGUGUCAAACCCAUGCGCGUAAUGAAAGUGAACGGAGGUGGGAACCCUCACGGGUGCACCAUCGACCGAUCCUGAUGUCUUCGGAUGGAUUUGAGUAAGAGCAUAGCUGUUGGGACCCGAAAGAUGGUGAACUAUGCCUGAAUAGGGUGAAGCCAGAGGAAACUCUGGUGGAGGCUCGCAGCGGUUCUGACGUGCAAAUCGAUCGUCAAAUUUGGGUAUAGGGGCGAAA
rnacentral:rRNA from 1 species